UACGGAGGGGGUUAGCGUUGUUCGGAAUUACUGGGCGUAAAGCGCACGUAGGCGGACCAAUCAGUUGGGGGUGAAAUCCCGGGGCUCAACCCCGGAACUGCCUCCAAAACUCCCAGUCUUGAGUUCGAGAGAGGUGAGUGGAACUCCGAGUGUAGAGGUGAAAUUCGUAGAUAUUCGGAAGAACACCAGUGGCGAAGGCGGCUCACUGGCUCGAUACUGACGCUGAGGUGCGAAAGUGUGGGGAGCAAACAGG
rnacentral:rRNA from 1 species